UGCAAGUCGAACGGUAACAGGAAGCAGCUUGCUGCUUCGCUGACGAGUGGCGGACGGGUGAGUAAUGUCUGGGAAACUGCCUGAUGGAGGGGGAUAACUACUGGAAACGGUAGCUAAUACCGCAUAACGUCGCAAGACCAAAGAGGGGGACCUUCGGACCUCUUGCCAUCGGAUGUGCCCAGAUGGGAUUAGCUAGUAGGUGGGGUAACGGCUCACCUAGGCGACGAUCCCUAGCUGGUCUGAGAGGAUGACCAGCCACACUGGAACUGAGACACGGUCCAGACU
rnacentral:rRNA from 1 species